AGAGUUUGAUCCUGGCUCAGGAUUAACGCUAGCGGCAGGCCUAACACAUGCAAGUCGAGGGGUAAAUUUUCUGAGCAAUCAGAAAAUACGACCGGCGCACGGGUGAGUAACGCGUAUGCAACCUACCUUUUGCUGGGGGAUAGCCCGAAGAAAUUCGGAUUAAUACCCCAUAAUAUUCAGAUAUCUCAUGGUAUUUGACUUAAAGCUCCGGCGGCAAAAGAUGGGCAUGCGUGACAUUAGCUUGUUGGUGAGGUAAAGGCUCACCAAGGCUGUGAUGUCUAGGGGGUCUUAAAGGAUGAUCCCCCACACUGGUACUGAGACACGGACCAGACUCCUACGGGAGGCAGCAGUGAGGAAUAUUGGGCAAUGGGCGAAAGCCUGACCCAGCCAUGCCGCGUGCAGGAUGACGGCCCUAUGGGUUGUAAACUGCUUUUAUACAGGAAGAACAUCUCCGACGUGUCGGAGCUUGACUGUACUGUACGAAUAAGCAUCGGCUAACUCCGUGCCAGCAGCCGCGGUAAUACGGAGGAUGCAAGCGUUAUCCGGAUUUAUUAGGUUUAAAGGGUGCGUAGGCGGAAUAAUAAGUCAGUGGUGAAAUCUUCCCGCUCAACGGGGAAACUGCCAUUGAUACUGUUAUUCUUGAGUUCAGUUGAGGUAGGCGGAAUGUGUCAUGUAGCGGUGAAAUGCAUAGAUAUGACACAGAACACCGAUUGCGUAGGCAGCUUACUAAACUGAUACUGACGCUGAGGCACGAAAGCGUGGGGAUCAAACAGGAUUAGAUACCCUGGUAGUCCACGCCGUAAACUAUGAUUACUCGUUGUGUGCAAUAUAUCGUACGUGACUAAGCGAAAGCAUUAAGUAAUCCACCUGGGGAGUACGUUCGCAAGAAUGAAACUCAAAGGAAUUGACGGGGGCCCGCACAAGCGGAGGAAUAUGUGGUUUAAUUCGAUGAUACGCGAGGAACCUUACCUGGGCUUGAAAGAUUUCUGACAAUUCCGGAAACGGAACUUUCCUUCGGGACAGAUUUCUAGGUGCUGCAUGGUUGUCGUCAGCUCGUGCCGUGAGGUGUCGGGUUAAGUCCCAUAACGAGCGCAACCCCUAUUGUUAGUUACCAGCGAGUAAUGUCGGGGACUCUAACGAAACUGCCGGUGUAAACCGUGAGGAAGGUGGGGAUGACGUCAAAUCAGCACGGCCCUUAUGUCCAGGGCUACACACGUAUUACAAUGGCCAAUUCAAAGGGCAGCUACUUGGUGACAAGAUGCUAAUCCCUAAAAUUGGUCUCAGUUCGGAUCGAAGUCUGCAACUCGACUUCGUGAAGUUGGAUUCGCUAGUAAUCGCGCAUCAGCCAUGGCGCGGUGAAUACGUUCCCGGGCCUUGUACACACCGCCCGUCAAGCCAUGGAAGUUGGGGGUGCCUGAAGUCCGUGACCGCAAGGAGCGGCCUAGGGUAAAACCAAUGACUGGGGCUAAGUCGGAACAAGGUA
rnacentral:rRNA from 1 species